rnacentral:lncRNA from 1 species
AGAGAAGUCAAGAUAGGAAAGUGAAGGGUAACAGAAUAUAUCACCACAAUAUAUGAGAUAACAUCUAAGAAAGGAAAAACAACCCUGCUUUUCUUCUAUACAAAGCUGAAAUCUUUCCUCAAAUGAUCAGAGCUUGUUGACUGUUACCAUGAAUGACCUAAGCGGGGAACUUACAGUGUUGCUAUUUGGAGUAAUUGAGUAUUUCAAG